UCCGGUAUGGUGUAUCGGCUAGCAUCCGUCGCUUUCAAUGCCUUAACUGUCAGCGCCGACGAGAGCCGGGUUCGAUUCCCGGUACCGGAA